rnacentral:rRNA from 1 species
AAACGUAGGAGGCUAGCGUUAUCCGGAUUUACUGGGCGUAAAGCGCGUGCAGGUGGUUUCGUAAGUUGGAUGUGAAAGCUCCUGGCUCAACUGGGAGAGGUCGUUCAAAACUGCGAGGCUUGAGAGUGGUAGAGGGAGGUGGAAUUCCGGGUGUAGUGGUGAAAUGCGUAGAUAUCCGGAGGAACACCAGUGGCGAAAGCGGCCUCCUGGACCAUUUCUGACACUCAGACGCGAAAGUCUAAGGUAGC